UACAGAGGUCUCAAGCGUUGUUCGGAUUCAUUGGGCGUAAAGGGUGUGUAGGUGGCGCGCUAAGUCGGGUGUGAAAUUUCGGAGCUUAACUCCGAAACUGCAUUCGAUACUGGCGUGCUUGAGGACUGGAGAGGAGACUGGAAUUUACGGUGUAGCAGUGAAAUGUGUAGAUAUUCGGAAGAACACCAGUGGCGAAGGCAGCGAAUUGGCUCUAUAUUGACGCUCAGGCACGAAAGCAUGGGGAUCAAACAGG
rnacentral:rRNA from 1 species